GACAGAGGAGGCAAGCGGUAUCCGGAAUUAUUGGGCGUAAAGCGUCCGUAGGUGGUUUGACAAGUCUGGGGUUAAAGCCCGGAGCCCAACUCCGGAUCGGCCCUGGAAACUGUCAGACUUGAGUAAGGUAGGGGUUGCGGGAAUUCCCGGUGUAGCGGUGAAAUGCGUAGAUAUCGGGAAGAACACCAGCGGCGAAAGCGCGCAACUGGGCCAUUACUGACACUGAGGCGCGAAAGCUAGGGGAGCAAACGGG
rnacentral:rRNA from 1 species